UAAGAUGAAUAGUUUUAAACUUAGCUCAAAAUUUCUCACUCUAAUAGAGCAUCAAAUAAAGAAUAGAGAGAGUGAGUUUGUCUUUUUGACAAAGAAAGCAGAUAUAGCUUCAAGUGGUGAGGCUCGGUGCUAGAAGAUUGCCCAUCUUGAGUCCUUUUUGAAGAUAUAAAGAUCUAAAACACAAAAACUCAAGAUAAAGAAUUAGUCCAAUAAUCGUAAUUAUUUGUUAUCAUCAAAAUCUAAUAAAAGAUUAGGGCC
rnacentral:lncRNA from 1 species